rnacentral:rRNA from 1 species
CCUACGGGUGGCUGCAGUGGGGAAUAUUGGACAAUGGGGGGAACCCUGAUCCAGCCAUGCCGCGUGUGUGAAGAAGGCCCUCGGGUUUUAAAGCACUUUCAGUGAGGAAGAACGCCUGGUGGUUAAUACCCAUCAGGAAAGACAUCACUCACAGAAGAAGCACCGGCUAACUCCGUGCCAGCAGCCGCGGUAAUACGGAGGGUGCGAGCGUUAAUCGGAAUUACUGGGCGUAAAGCGCGCGUAGGUGGCUUGAUAAGCCGGUUGUGAAAGCCCCGGGCUCAACCUGGGAACGGCAUCCGGAACUGUCAAGCUAGAGUGCAGGAGAGGAAGGUAGAAUUCCCGGUGUAGCGGUGAAAUGCGUAGAGAUCGGGAGGAAUACCAGUGGCGAAGGCGGCCUUCUGGACUGACACUGACACUGAGGUGCGAAAGCGUGGGUAGCAAACAGGAUUAGAUACCCCGGUAGUC